rnacentral:rRNA from 1 species
CAAUAGCGUAUAUUAAAGUUGUUGCAGUUAAAAAGCUCGUAGUUGGAUUUGUGGUGUAUGGUGUGUUCCGGGCACUUGUUGUCUGAGUAACUUGCCAUUGCCAUCCUUGGGUGGAACCUGUGUGGCAUUAGGUUGUCGUGCAGGGGAUGCCCAUCGUUUACUGUGAAAAAAUUAGAGUGUUCAAAGCAGGCUUAUGCCGUUGAAUAUAUUAGCAUGGAAUAAUAAGAUAGGACUUUUUUGCUAUUUUGUUGGUUUGCGCGAGAAGGUAAUGAUUAAUAGGGAUAGUUGGGGGUAUUCGUAUUCCAUUGUCAGAGGUGAAAUUCUUGGAUUUUUGGAAGACGAACUACUGCGAAAGCAUUUACCAAGGAUGUUUUCAUUAA